rnacentral:lncRNA from 1 species
CUUUUUUUUUUUUUGGUAUUUGGAAUUGAACUCGGGCACUCAACCACUGAGCUACAACCCCAGCCCUAUUUUGUAUUUUUUUAGAAACAAGGUUUCAGUUGCUUGGUGCCCCACUGUUGCUGAGACUGGCUUUGAACCCGCAAUCUUCCUGCCUCAGCCUCCCGAGCUGCUGGGAUUACAGGCAGGUGCCACUGCACCCAGCCUUGAGUGCUUGUUUUUUAAUUCUGGUUUUGCCGCUUACUGUGACCUGGAACAAGUUACAGAAUCUCACUGUGCCUCAGUUUCCCUUCUGUGAAAUGGGAACAGUAAACUAUGACUAUGACAGUGUUUCUCGGAUUAUAUGUGAUAAUGUGCCUUUGGAAAAAACUCAGUAUUACCACUUGUUAUUUAGAAGUGCCAAGUGUCCCAGCCCCCCACAUGUGAAAGGUUUGGUCAUUAGCAUGUGGGCAGUGUUGUGAGGUGAUAAAACUUUUAGGAGGUGGGGCCUGGUGGGAGGAAGUUAGGUCAUUGGGGGUGUAUCCUUGAGGGGAUUGUGGGACUCCAAUUCCUUCCUCUUUCUUUCCUUCCUCUUUCUUUCCUGGAUGCCAUGAGGUGAGUAGCUUCCUCUGGCAUGUGCACAGGGAACUGCUCUCCUUAUGGUAAACUGCCUGCCACAGGCCCAAAGGCAACAGGCCAAUAAACCAUGGUCUGAAACCUCUAAAACCACGAGCCAAAAUAAGCCUUCCCCCUUUUUUUUUAAUAUUUAUUUUUCAAUUAUAGUUGGACACAAUACCUUUCUUUUACUUAUUUAUUUUUAUGUGGUGCUGAGGAUCGAACCCAGGGCCUCGCAUGUGCUAGGCAAGCGCUCUACCGCUGAGCCACAACCCCAGCCCAACCUUUCCUUCUUAUCAGUGCAUUAUCUCAAGUAUUUUGUUACAGUAAUGGAAAGUUGACUAAUACUUCAUAAGAUGGCCAACCUUAUGAUACUUUACCAAACAUACUCAAGGGACUAUAGAGAAAGUUCCCUUUGCUAAGCAAAGAUAUAAUAGUGUUAUUUAUGCAUUUAUGUACAGUAUCAAAAGAAAGUGAGUUGUAAGCUGGGUGUGGCGGCACACCCCUGUAAAGCCAACAACUUGGGAGGCUGAGCAGAGGAUUAGGUUCAAGACCAGCUGUAGCAACUUAGUAAGAUCCUAUCUCAAAAUAAAAGACCCUGUCUCAAAAAAAUUGAAUUGAGAGUUCAAUUCCCUACUACUAAACAAAGAAAC